CUCACCCGUGCCCUAAACGCCCAAUCCCCUCUCCUUCUCCCCUCUCGCGACCCUUUCUCUCCUUCUCCCUCACGUGGCGACGAAUCUGAUCAUUUCCCCCUUCCUCUUCCUCUCUUCUCUUCCGUCCCUACCCAAGCGCUGACGACGCGUGAGCCACUGCCGACGGAAGCUUCAAGUCCUCCCCUUUUCCUCUUCCCCUUCUUCCUCUUCCCCUUCUUCCGUGCCCUAGCCCCCUUCUCGGCUCAUCUCCUCCGCCUCUACUCGUCGUCCCUGAUCCUCGUGGCUCGAUACCGGCUGUUCGGGCCCUAGAGCUGAUCACCGCUGAGCCCUAGAUCCGUCCAACUCUCGCAUCACCCUGGUUGCAACGAUCAACACCGGUCGCCAGCUGCGGCACCUCUCCACGGUACGAUCUUCAACCAAGGGCAGCGAGCCAUGCCCUAGCCAUCUCCCGCUUGCCUCUGGCUACUGCCAUCGCCAAUCGACCGACACCGCCCAGAACCGCCCGGCACCUCCUGGUGGAGCCGACGCCUCUCCUCUCUUCACUGCGCUGAUUUCCUCUAGAGAGGGAAACUACCAGUUAGGGGUGUUUGUUCUGGAAAUCUGCAACUCCAUCUCGCUGCAACAAUCAAUUUCGGCAAUGGGUUCUCUAGCUGUGGAUCACUGGCUGAGGAUUUCGAGUUGGAGUAAUCCUUUGUAGCUUAGCCAACACUGUUCGCUGGUGAUCCACAGCAUCAAUUAUUCUGUUUUGGGCAAGGAACCCCUUCGAUCGUGAGCUAUCAGCGACCAUCUUGGAUUUGGGACUUUGAUUCGAGACAGUGUCUCGACGUGGGGUCUAUUUUGGAGACAAUCUUCACUUUUUGAGGCAGGUUAUUCAUGAAAAGCAAAAAGAAUGUACGCUGCAUUAUCGAAUGAUCAAACUUGUGAGGCUGCGAUAUCGAACAAGUUCUCAAACAUGAACGACCCAAAAUGGAGAGAUGAUGUGGAGGUUUAUGAAUGCGGCACUUCAAACUUGGAGGGGGGAAAAUGUUACUUGGCCAUGAAACAACGUGAAAAUGUGGUGUCGUACGACACAAUAUUGUCAGAAGGAGGACCAAAUAUAUUGAUACAUCAUGUUCCACUUGGGAGAGGGAAUUUCAAGGUAUCUAUUGAUGUUGUCAUAGAUGAUGGAGCAGAGCUUCCAAUCCCAAUUCGGUCUAGAACAACAAUUAUUAAUGAUGCUAUUGGAACAAUUGUUCCUUGGCCUAAAGAGUUAGUAAUUUUACCAAUGAAGAAGGUACCUUCAAUUUCUAUCAAAAGUUGGUAUUUGAAAAAAAAAACUUAAUUAUCAUUUGAAUACUCAUAUGAAUAUUUUAAAAUAUUGUAGAAGAAUGUGCAACCUCAAUCAUUUGCUCUUUCAGAUGUUCAUGUUCAUCAAGACAAGUAUAAGGAAAUUGAAAAAACAUUGCCGAUGGCAUGCAAAUAUAUCUAUUCUUAUGUUGUGAGAUUGAUGUCUAAAGAUGAGAGCAUACACAAAAUUUGAUGAAGCUAUGUUUGGAUGUCUUAAAAGUACAUAGUUGCUAAGAGAAGAUAUCUUACAUUUUAUGGAGAUGAAAGAGAUGGGUGCUAGGCAAAUUUUGGUUUACAUGGGGUAUGUUAUGUCUUAAAUAUAAUAUUUGUUCAAAUGGUAUGAUUUGUUUGCAAUAUUUGUUCAUGUUUUCACUUUGGUUUACAUCGGGUAUAUUUAGAUUUAUCAUUACUUUGUCAUUACUUUGCAAUUACCAUGCAGUUACCUUUACAAAUAUUAGAAGAAAGAAAAUAGAGCUGAGUAUGUCUCAUUUGGGGAUCCUAGUCACAUACCUACAUGUGGUAUGGGCGAAGAAGGUACCAUUAGAUCCUGACUAUAAUUAAUGAAGAUAAGAAUAUGAUAUAUUUAUUGGAUUCUUUGACUAAUAGGAACUGAGAUCAUGCUUGGCAAACUAUUGUGACCAAUGGGGUUAAAGUAUACAAUGCAUCAAGAGGUAUUUCAAAAUGACCUGGUUUUAAACAAUUGACGGGUAAUCUAAAACAAAAUGGUAGUGUUGAACGUAGAUAUCAUGUAAUGCGGUACAUGAAAAAGAUAGUCUUGGAUGAAUAUUCACAAUUGGAGAUGAAGUUUGCAAUAUCAAAGAAUAAAACAUAUUACAAUCAAUCUCAGUAUGAUGAAGUCAAAAGUGAAUGGAGCGAAUUCGUCUACUUCUAUAUAGUUGCUUAAGUGCAUGUGAUAUAAAUUUUGGAUUGUAUUUAAAGAUUUACAGAUACAAAAUCUUUUUGGUUAUGAUUAAAUAUGUCUUUUAUUAA